UACGGAGGGUGCGAGCGUUGUUCGGAAUUACUGGGCGUAAAGGGCGCGUAGGCGGACGUGCAAGUCGGUGGUGAAAUCCCGGGGCUCAACCCCGUGACUGCUUCCGAUACUGCAAGUCUAGGGACCGGUAGAGGUCGGUGGAAUUCCCGGUGUAGCGGUGGAAUGCGUAGAUAUCGGGAGGAACACCUGUGGCUAAGGCGGCCGACUGGGCCGGAUCCGACGCUGAGGCGCGAAAGCGUGGGGAGCAAACAGG
rnacentral:rRNA from 1 species